rfam:Bacillus sp. 2_A_57_CT2 genomic scaffold supercont1.3, whole genome shotgun sequence.
UGGGCAGUAUCCUUAAAAGAACUGCACCUUUUUUGAGCGAAUCAUAAAAUAAAUAGAUAUCUGCCUAGAUCCAAAAAAAUGGACCGGGACAGAGGG